GACGAACGCUGGCGGCGUGCUUAACACAUGCAAGUCGAACGGAAAGGCCCUGCUUUUUUGGGUUGGUCGGGUGGCGAACGGGUGAGUAACACGUGAGUAACGUGCCCUUGACUUUGGGAUAACUUCAGGAAACGGGGGCUAAUACCGGAUAGGAUCUCCUGCGUCUUGGUGGGGGUGGGUAAGGUUCGGCGGUUGGGGAGGGACUGGCGGCUUAUCAGCUUGUUGGUGGGGUUGUGGCGUACCAAGGCUUUGACGGGUAGCCGGCCUGAGAGGGUGGCCGGCCACAUUGGGACUGAGAUACGGCGCAGAAGCCUACGGGAGGGAACAGUGGGGAAUAUUGUACAGUGGGCAGACGCCUGAUGCAGCAACGCCGCGUGCGGGAUGAAGGCCUUCCGGUAGUGAACCGCUUUCGCCUGUGACGAAGCGUGAGUGACGGUAAUGGGUAAAGAAGCACCGGCUAACUACGUG
rnacentral:rRNA from 1 species